GGGGGUAUAGAUCAGUGGUAGCGCAUUUGAACGCAGAUCAAGAGGGCUCUGGUUCAACUCCAGGUGCCCCCU